rnacentral:tRNA from 1 species
GGAAGGGUAGUCUAAAUGGUAAGGCGGCAGUUUUGAAAACUGUAGUGGCGUAAUCAAUCGCUGUGGGGGUUCGAGUCCCCCUCCUUCCUCCA